rnacentral:rRNA from 1 species
GGUGAACGCUGGCGGCGUGCCUAAGACAUGCAAGUCGAGCGGGGCAGGUUUAUACCUGUUCAGCGGCGGACGGGUGAGUAACGCGUGGGUGACCUACCCGGAAGAGUCGGACAACCUGGGGAAACCCAGGCUAAUCCGCCAUGUGGUCCUGUCCUGUGGGGCAGGACUAAAGGGUGGAUAGCCCGCUUCCGGAUGGGCCCGCGUCCCAUCAGCUAGUUGGUGGGGUAAAGGCCCACCAAGGCGACGACGGGUAGCCGGUCUGAGAGGAUGGCCGGCCACAGGGGCACUGAGGCACGGGCCCCACUCCUACGGGAGGCAGCAGUUAGGAAUCUUCCGCAAUGGGCGCAAGCCUGACGGAGCGACGCCGCUGGGAGGAGGAAGCCCUUCGGGGUGUAAACUCCUGAACUGGGGACGAAAGCCCCGUGUAGGGGGAUGACGGUACCCAGGUAAUAGCGCCGGCCAACUCCGUG